UACGAAGGGGGCUAGCGUUGUUCGGAAUUACUGGGCGUAAAGCGUGCGCAGGCGGCUGCUCAAGUCAGGGGUGAAAGCCCAGAGCUCAACUCUGGAAUUGCCUUUAAGACUGCAUCGCUAGAAUCGUGGAGAGGUGAGUGGAAUUCCGAGUGUAGAGGUGAAAUUCGUAGAUAUUCGGAAGAACACCAGUGGCGAAGGCGACUCACUGGACACGUAUUGACGCUGAGGUGCGAAAGCGUGGGGAGCAAACAGG
rnacentral:rRNA from 1 species